rnacentral:lncRNA from 1 species
GUGAAGUUUAACUCUGCAACUCGAACAAAUUCUUAUUUACAUUGACGGCCUACCCCUGUUUCCAGUUGUCCACAUGGCUGGAAGAACCUAUUCAAGUAGCUAGCUAACAGCCAUGGAGGAGGGUGAAAGGAUAGCAGCCCCAACUGUCAGUGAGAGAGGAGGCUAUUCUGGCUGGGCAGGUACUUUUGUGUAGUUCCUGUCCCUAGAAGUGAGGACGGAGAUAAUUGUAACAUAAUAUUCAGUGUGGUGUAAUUUGACUAUAAUGAAGUCUGUUUCUUGUGAGGAUUUCUGUCCUCAGAUAAAGAGCUCUGUGAAAGCCAGUCUACAUAUGAAGAGGUCCCAAUGAAGAGCAGUGGUUCUCAGUCCUGGGGACUUAAAGAGGGGCACAUUGUUGUUUUUGCCUUCACACUGCACAGCUGAUUCAAAUGAUUCAAACUCAUCAUCAAGCUUCAAGUGAGACCUUGUAACUGGAGAUUCCUUCAGAACGAUUGCCUACAGUUACCGUGUAGGGCACUGCAAGGUUGGGUGACCAGGGUCAUCUGGGACUGCCUCCUGGAGGAAUUCAGGUGUGUGAAGGCUACCUGUGUCCUGCGUAACUUCAUGAGGAUGGACACGAGGACCAGGAGGGGAUCUGCAGCUCGCCGCCGUGUGCCAGAGGAGGAGUCUGCUGCUCUGCAGGAAGUUUCAAGGAUGGGGUCCAACAACGCAGCAAGAGAGGCAAUCCGUGUGCAGGAGAUCUUCACCUCCUACUUCUUCAAAGAGGGUGCUGUUCCCUGACAACACCAUAGACGUCACUAUGCACAACCAAAAGCUCUUUUAAGAGCCAUUCACAUUGCAAUAAGAGUAUUCUUCCAUUUACUGAGCUAUGUCAACUGCAGUUAUUCAAUUCACAGUUUAUCUCCCUUUGAUUUCUACUUCUCAGGUGAGGGUGCUGUGUAGGUAAGAGUGUGAUGUCUGUGCAAAAACAAAACAGGCUAUUUUAAAUCACCCAUAUUUAAAAAAUGUAGAACAAUUAGACACCCUAUAACCCACACCUACACACUCAUGUAUCAAUCUGAUUGAUGGAUUGUGUUGUGCAGUAAACAGGCUCAGGUGUAUAACUGUGGCUCCUUCCACCUUCAAAGAAUAGGCAAGAGGGCCAACCAUGGAGAAUAGUAAGACACUUCAUUAUUUCUAUAACUACGCUGUAUUGUUUGUCCUUGUGUGUCCGUUCAUGUUUUUCAGCAUAAAGUACUCUGCAGCCACUUAGUGUGGUGUGGACACCAGGUUAUAUCAGCUGUGUCGACGAACCCCUCCUGCAUCUGAACUGGCUACAUAGAG